ACAGACUUCUCAACAUGGGGUUCCCUGCUCAGCUCCUGGGGCUGCUGAUGCUCUGGAUCCCUGGAUCCAGUGGGGAUAUCUUGUUGACGCAGACCCCGCUUUCCCUGCCUGUCAGCCCUGGAGAGCUGGCCUCCAUCUCCUGCAGGUCCAGUGAGAGCCUCCUGCACAGUAAUGGAAACACGUAUUUGCAUUGGUUCCUCCAGAAACCAGGCCAGGCUCCUCGGCGCCUGAUCUAUAGGGUUUCCAACCGUGACUCUGGGGUCCCAGACAGGUUCAGUGGCAGUGGGUCAGGGACAGAUUUCACCCUGAAGAUCAGCAGGGUGCAGGCUGACGAUGCUGGAGUUUAUUACUGCCACCAAGGUACAAAAUAUCCUCAGAUUCAGGGCCAGAAUACAUGCUGGGUUCCAGGUGUACUUUAA